UCACCCCUCAAGCCCCGUGCUUGGUGUUGGAUGGCCGGUCGAGGUCCCCCCUCGACCCCUCCUAAAGACAACGACGGCGGCCUGUGGUUCCCCCGGUACACUGAGCUUCUUACCGAGCAUGUACCGGACGAGGGCACCCAGGACCCGGUCUUCUCCUCUCACGAGGAAAUAUUUUUCUAA
rnacentral:misc_RNA from 1 species